rnacentral:snRNA from 14 species
AACCUUCCCUGGCAGGGGAGAUACCACAAUCACCAAAGUGGUUUUACAUGGCAGAGGAGAUACCCAGGGUGAGGUCCGUCCCUUGUAUUCUGGGCUGGCUGACCCCUGUGAGUUUCCCCAAAUUCAGGGAACUGGACUGUACACUUUUGCAUAGUUUUGUGGCAGUGGGGCAGUGUUUCCUUUCUUCCCCUA